UACGAAGGGGGCUAGCGUUGUUCGGAAUUACUGGGCGUAAAGGGCGCGUAGGCGGUGUGUCAAGUCAGGCGUGAAAGCCCCGGGCUCAACCUGGGAACCGCGCUUGAGACUGGCACGCUAGAGUUCGGGAGAGGAUGGUGGAAUUCCCAGUGUAGAGGUGAAAUUCGUAGAUAUUGGGAAGAACACCGAUGGCGAAGGCAGCCAUCUGGACCGACACUGACGCUGAGGCGCGAAGCGUGGGAGCAAACAGG
rnacentral:rRNA from 1 species